AGUGGCGAACGGGUGAGUAACACGUGGGUAACCUGCCCAUCAGAAGGGGAUAACACUUGGAAACAGGUGCUAAUACCGUAUAACAAUCAAAACCGCAUGGUUUUGAUUUGAAAGGCGCUUUCGGGUGUCGCUGAUGGAUGGACCCGCGGUGCAUUAGCUAGUUGGUGAGGUAACGGCUCACCAAGGCCACGAUGCAUAGCCGACCUGAGAGGGUGAUCGGCCACAUUGGGACUGAGACACGGCCCAAACUCCUACGGGAGGCAGCAGUAGGGAAUCUUCGGCAAUGGACGAAAGUCUGACCGAGCAACGCCGCGUGAGUGAAGAAGGUUUUCGGAUCGUAAAACUCUGUUGUUAGAGAAGAACAAGGAUGAGAGUAACUGUUCAUCCCUUGACGGUAUCUAACCAGAAAGCCACGGCUAACUACGUGCCAGCAGCCGCGGUAAUACGUAGGUGGCAAGCGUUGUCCGGAUUUAUUGGGCGUAAAGCGAGCGCAGGCGGUUUCUUAAGUCUGAUGUGAAAGCCCCCGGCUCAACCGGGGAGGGUCAUUGGAAACUGGGAGACUUGAGUGCAGAAGAGGAGAGUGGAAUUCCAUGUGUAGCGGUGAAAUGCGUAGAUAUAUGGAGGAACACCAGUGGCGAAGGCGGCUCUCUGGUCUGUAACUGACGCUGAGGCUCGAAAGCGUGGGGAGCAAACAGGAUUAGAUACCCUGGUAGUCCACGCCGUAAACGAUGAGUGCUAAGUGUUGGAGGGUUUCCGCCCUUCAGUGCUGCAGCUAACGCAUUAAGCACUCCGCCUGGGGAGUACGACCGCAAGGUUGAAACUCAAAGGAAUUGACGGGGGCCCGCACAAGCGGUGGAGCAUGUGGUUUAAUUCGAAGCAACGCGAAGAACCUUACCAGGUCUUGACAUCCUUUGACCACUCUAGAGAUAGAGCUUCCCCUUCGGGGGCAAAGUGACAGGUGGUGCAUGGUUGUCGUCAGCUCGUGUCGUGAGAUGUUGGGUUAAGUCCCGCAACGAGCGCAACCCUUAUUGUUAGUUGCCAUCAUUCAGUUGGGCACUCUAGCAAGACUGCCGGUGACAAACCGGAGGAAGGUGGGGAUGACGUCAAAUCAUCAUGCCCCUUAUGACCUGGGCUACACACGUGCUACAAUGGGAAGUACAACGAGUUGCGAAGUCGCGAGG
rnacentral:rRNA from 1 species